rnacentral:rRNA from 1 species
GAUGAACGCUGGCGGCGUGCCUAAUACAUGCAAGUCGAGCGAACAGACGAGGAGCUUGCUCCUCUGACGUUAGCGGCGGACGGGUGAGUAACACGUGGAUAACCUACCUAUAAGACUGGGAUAACUUCGGGAAACCGGAGCUAAUACCGGAUAAUAUAUUGAACCGCAUGGUUCAAUAGUGAAAGACGGUUUUGCUGUCACUUAUAGAUAGAUCCGCGCCGCAUUAGCUAGUUGGUAAGGUAACGGCUUACCAAGGCGACGAUGCGUAGCCGACCUGAGAGGGUGAUCGGCCACACUGGAACUGAGACACGGUCCAGACUCCUACGGGAGGCAGCAGUAGGGAAUCUUCCGCAAUGGGCGAAAGCCUGACGGAGCAACGCCGCGUGAGUGAUGAAGGUCUUCGGAUCGUAAAACUCUGUUAUUAGGGAAGAACAAAUGUGUAAGUAACUAUGCACGUCUUGACGGUACCUAAUCAGAAAGCCACGGCUAACUACGCG